rnacentral:rRNA from 1 species
UGGGCGAAAGCCUGAUCCAGCAAUGCCGCGUGAGUGAUGAAGGCCUUAGGGUUGUAAAGCUCUUUUACCCGAGAUGAUAAUGACAGUAUCGGGAGAAUAAGCUCCGGCUAACUCCGUGCCAGCAGCCGCGGUAAUAAUCACUA